AUGCAUGGCUCUUUCAGCGCAAUUUGCAGAGACUCCUCUGGUCAGUUCUUGGGAGCAUCAGCAAUCAAGAUACAUGGGAUCACGGAGCCUACAACUCUCGAAGCGCUAGCUUGCCGGGAGGCACUAGCAUUAGCUUCAGACUUGGCCCUGUUCGAUUUCAUUGUGGCUACUGACUGUCAGGGAGUAGUAAACGACAUCAAGCAUGGAACGGGAGGGACGUAUGCAAGCACCGUCAAAGAGAUUAUUGAAACGUCAAGAGAUUUUCCGCAGUGUACCUUCAUCUUCGAAGGUUGAUCCACCAAUAUUGAAGCGCAUAGCCUCGCUAAGCACGCUUUCGGUUUGGAUUUUGGGCCAUGUGUGGCUUAUAAACCCACCAGACAUUCAUUGUAUCCAUAUGAACUUCUUUUAAUAAUAAAGUGUGUUUAG
rnacentral:rRNA from 1 species